rnacentral:rRNA from 1 species
GGCCAAGUUUUUAAGGGCGCACGGUGGAUGCCUUGGCACCAGGAACCGAUGAAGGACGUGGGAGGCCACGAUAGUCCCCGGGGAGUCGUCAACCAGGCUUUGAUCCGGGGGUUUCCGAAUGGGGAAACCCGGCAGUCGUCAUGGGCUGUCACCCUUGCCUGAACACAUAGGGCAAGUGGAGGGAACGCGGGGAAGUGAAACAUCUCAGUACCCGCAGGAAGAGAAAACAACCGUGAUUCCGGGAGUAGUGGCGAGCGAAACUGGAUGAGGCCAAACCGUAUACGUGUGAGACCCGGCAGGGGUUGCGUAUGCGGGGUUGUGGGAUCUCUCUUCUGUUGUCUGCCGGCAACAGGACGAGUCAGAAACCGUUGAUGUAGGCGAAGGACAUGCGAAAGGUCCGGCGUAGAGGGUAAGACCCCGUAGUCGAAACGUCAGCGGCUCGUUUGAGAGACACCCAAGUAGCACGGGGCCCGAGAAAUCCCGUGUGAAUCUGGCGGGACCACCCGCUAAGCCUAAAUAUUCCCUGGUGACCGAUAGCGGAUAGUACCGUGAGGGAAUGGUGAAAAGUACCCCGGGAGGGGAGUGAAAUAGUACCUGAAACCGUGUGCCUACAAGCCGUGGGAGCGUCGGAAGCAAGCUUGCUUGCUUCUCGUGACUGCGUGCCUUUUGAAGAAUGAGCCUGCGAGUUUGCGGUGUGUUGCGAGGUUAACCCGUGUGGGGAAGCCGUAGCGAAAGCGAGUCCGAACAGGGCGAUUCAGUAGCGCGCUCAAGACCCGAAGCGGAGUGAUCUAGCCAUGGGCAGGUUGAAGCGGAGGUAAGACUUCGUGGAGGACCGAACCCACCAGGGUUGAAAACCUGGGGGAUGACCUGUGGUUAGGGGUGAAAGGCCAAUCAAACUCCGUGAUAGCUGGUUCUCCCCGAAAUGCAUUUAGGUGCAGCGUCGUGUGUUUCUUGCCGGAGGUAGAGCACUGGAUAGGCGAUGGGCCCUACCGGGUUACUGACCUUAGCCAAACUCCGAAUGCCGGUAAGUGAGAGCACGGCAGUGAGACUGUGGGGGAUAAGCUCCAUGGUCGAGAGGGAAACAGCCCAGAGCAUCGACUAAGGCCCCUAAGCGUACGCUAAGUGGGAAAGGAUGUGGAGUCGCAGAGACAACCAGGAGGUUGGCUUAGAAGCAGCCACCCUUGAAAGAGUGCGUAAUAGCUCACUGGUCUAGUGAUUCCGCGCCGACAAUGUAGCGGGGCUCAAGCGUACCGCCGAAGUCGUGUCAUUCACACAACAGGGCCAACGCCUGUGUGGAUGGGUAGGGGAGCGUCGUGUGCCGGGUGAAGCCGCGCCGGAAGGCAGUGGUGGACGGUUCACGAGUGAGAAUGCAGGCAUGAGUAGCGAUUCACACGUGAGAAACGUGUGCGCCGAUUGACUAAGGGUUCCUGGGUCAAGCUGAUCUGCCCAGGGUAAGUCGGGACCUAAGGCGAGGCCGACAGGCGUAGUCGAUGGAUAACCGGUUGAUAUUCCGGUACCCGCUGUGAAGCGUCAAACAUCGAAUCCAGUGAUGCUAAGCCCGUGAAGCCGCCGGCUGAGUCUUCGGACGAGGUCGGAGUGGUGGAGCCGGUGACCCGAGCUGGUAGUAGGUGAGUGAUGGGGUGACGCAGGAAGGUAGUCCAUCCCGGGCGGUGGUUGUCCCGGGGUAAGGGUGUAGGACGUCAGGUAGGCAAAUCCGCCUGACAUGUGUCUGAGACCUGAUGCCGAGCCGAUUGUGGUGAAGUGGAUGAUCCUAUGCUGUCGAGAAAAGCCUCUAGCGAGUUUCAUGGCGGCCCGUACCCUAAACCGACUCAGGUGGUCAGGUAGAGAAUACCGAGGCGUUCGGGUGAACUAUGGUUAAGGAACUCGGCAAAAUGCCCCCGUAACUUCGGGAGAAGGGGGCCACGUCCGGUGAUUGGAUUUACUCCAUGAGCUGGGUGUGGCCGCAGAGACCAGCGAGAAGCGACUGUUUACUAAAAACACAGGUCCGUGCGAAGCCGUAAGGCGAUGUAUACGGACUGACGCCUGCCCGGUGCUGGAACGUUAAGGGGACCGGUUAGCUCAGAUUCGUCUGGGCGAAGCUGAGAACUUAAGCGCCAGUAAACGGCGGUGGUAACUAUAACCAUCCUAAGGUAGCGAAAUUCCUUGUCGGGUAAGUUCCGACCUGCACGAAUGGCGUAACGACUUCUCGACUGUCUCAACCAUAGGCCCGGUGAAAUUGCACUACGAGUAAAGAUGCUCGUUUCGCGCAGCAGGACGGAAAGACCCCGGGACCUUUACUACAGUUUGAUAUUGGUGUUCGGUUCGGCUUGUGUAGGAUAGCUGGGAGACUGUGAACUCUGGACGCCAGUUCAGGGGAGUCGUCGUUGAAAUACCAGUCUGGUCGUGCUGGAUGUCUAACCUGGGUCCGUGAUCCGGAUCAGGGACAGUGUCUGAUGGGUAGUUUAACUGGGGCGGUUGCCUCCUAAAGAGUAACGGAGGCGCCCAAAGGUUCCCUCAGCCUGGUUGGCAAUCAGGUGUUGAGUGUAAGUGCACAAGGGAGCUUGACUGUGAGACCGACGGGUCGAGCAGGGACGAAAGUCGGGACUAGUGAUCCGGCGGUGGCUUGUGGAAGCGCCGUCGCUCAACGGAUAAAAGGUACCCCGGGGAUAACAGGCUGAUCUUCCCCAAGAGUCCAUAUCGACGGGAUGGUUUGGCACCUCGAUGUCGGCUCGUCGCAUCCUGGGGCUGGAGUCGGUCCCAAGGGUUGGGCUGUUCGCCCAUUAAAGCGGUACGCGAGCUGGGUUUAGAACGUCGUGAGACAGUUCGGUCCCUAUCCGCUGCGCGCGCAGGAAUAUUGAGAAGGGCUGUCCCUAGUACGAGAGGACCGGGACGGACGAACCUCUGGUGUGCCAGUUGUUCUGCCAAGGGCAUGGCUGGUUGGCUACGUUCGGGAGGGAUAACCGCUGAAAGCAUCUAAGCGGGAAGCCUGCUUCGAGAUGAGUAUUCCCACCCACUUGAUGGGGUAAGGCUCCCAGUAGACGACUGGGUUGAUAGGCCGGAUCUGGAAGCACGGUAACGUGUGGAGGUGACCGGUACUAAUAGGCCGAGGGCUUGUCCUC